AUCACUUGAAAUGGACUGUCAGGAAUGCAGGUAAAAAACACAGUGUCUGUUUUACUUUUCUCACUAUUAGUGUGGUGCAGUAUUUACGUGGCUUUUACUUCGCAUACACACACACACACACACACACACACACACACACACACACACACACACUGAAGAGCUGCUGUGCAAGAUUUGGGUUUCAGUUCAAGAAUGAGUUGAGUAGUGAACGACUGGCCGUGUAAUUACUGGGGAAACCUUCUGAUUCACAAACUGGACUCAAACUUAGGGUUCUUCAGAGGAACAAGGACAGACUUGUUCCUUUUAAGUCAUAAAAACAUCUAUGCACCAAACUCACUUAAGUGCCUCCGGCACAUUCAAACUAGACCAGAAUGUUCCAGUAUCUGUAUGUAAAAACAUGACGUGGUAUAUUUUACCACGGCCAUACUAAUGGACAAAUGUGUGCUACAUGUAAAAGAUGAAAGAUAAGGUCUGGGUGAAGUAAAAUUACUGAUUUGUUUAAACAAGUUAAUAAAUUAUUGCUGAAAACUUCUGUGAAACGUCUGUGAACUUACUACUGAAGCUUGAUGAUGCACUGCACUGAAGUGAACCUGAAACUCAUGAAGACCCGAUUGAAAAUCACACUGAGAUUUCUACAUCACUUCAGAGCAGAGAGUGCUGCUUAUUUUAUCAUGAUUUUGAAAUCUAAUUAUUUACACUUACCAUUUUUUUCUGGGUAGUUAUAACACCAUGGCAUGGCAGUCAACAUAUAUUUAUUACUGCUUUAUUCCAACUUUAAUAUUAAUACAUAUACAUUAUUGCUGGGUUGGGAGACUGGUUACUAAUGUUCUGUUUUUGUUUGCUCAGUUAUCAGUUACUACAUCAGCGAGUGUUGGGCUUUUGUCAAGACCCAUAUCUGUCUGACUGCACAUCAGAUCUUCCUGAUGUUGUUGUGGAUGGGGUUCUUCAGGGUUUUUACCCCCGUGAUGUCCGGGUCAGCUUUACUGCCCCCAUUUCCACCCAGCCAAACCCCACCACCACUACUGAGAACUGAAAUUGCUCUUUGUAAGAUUUUGUGUUUUACACUAAUCAGCCAGAACAUUAAAACCACAGGCAGGUGAGGUGGAUAACAGCGGUUAUCUCAUUACAUUUACAUCUGUUGGGCAGUAAGUUACCAAACGUGGUCACGAGCACGCUCACAGCUUACUGAUGCACGUGGAGAAUGAAGGGUAGCCCGUCUGACACGAUAACACAGAAAAGCUACUCUAGCACAAACUGAUGAUAGUUGUCGGCUGUUAUGUUCAGAUAGUCAGAAUGUUCAUCCUGGUUUUAAUGUUGUGGCUGAUUGGUAAAGUAGAAUGUAUAACAGUCAAAUACACAAAGCCAUUAAGGAAGAAGAAUGAACAAAACAUAGACAUGAUAUAAGCAAGUCAGUGAAGAAGAAUAGCUUUUUUAUAUGGUUGGUCUCAGAGGGACUGAAACCUGUCACCCGGCCAAAGUCUCAAUCUAGGUCAACGACCAAACUGAGCUCUGAAAACUGACUCGAUCAGUAUACUGUAUGUAUGUCAGUGUUUUUUAUCCUUAAGAUGACAAAGAAACCUUUUAAUAAUUUGUGACAUUAUUAUAUUGCCACAAGCGGAAAGCAUUAAAACCCAUACUUUAUUUUAGUCAUAUUGUAUCUUAAAAGACGUUGAUUUCAUUUAAUGAAGCGUUCGUGAUGCCGUUUAAAACUGAAUGUGGAAACUUUAAGGAACACAAACAGUUUACUUCUGAAGAUAUUGGUGUUUACAGAUAGUGUUUGCCAAAGUCAUGGGUUGAUAAACAGCAGUUCAUGUGUGAGACUAAAGAAUCUGAGACUCUACUUAGUUUUUGAAUGUAGAUUCACUGGCUGAUUCAAAUGUGUCCACUACUUAUGCUGAGUCAAUGAUCUGACAUAGUCUGUUCGUCCUAUAGUAUUUUGAAGGUAUUUUGUUAGUGCUAUAAAUGUUUGUACAUAGUUUACAUGUUUUUUUAUCAUUUGUUUUUGUGUCAAUUUUAAUAAAGAAUCUAACGUGACUUGUUCUGUGUAAUUUGAAACCUAAGUGGAGAUUCUACACUGUGAUACCCCUUUAUUUAUCCUCUAAUUUAUUAACAGUAUUUAUAUAACUCAUAUACAAUAUUUAAUAUUGAACAGAGUUGAAGACACGUCACAACACAUCUAAUUUACAUGUGUCACCUCCCUCUUUCCCUUGGUCUUAAAUGCCCUGUACAGUACUUAUGGUCUUGUACGUCUUGCACUGUGUUUCUGUGUUUCAAUAAAAAAAAAAAAAAAAAAAAAAAAAAACGUAUGCACACCAUUCUCAGAUAGAAGGCGCCAGUUUCCACUACAGCUGCCACACCUCAAGCAAAAU
ensembl:lncRNA